rnacentral:rRNA from 1 species
AAUCAACGCUGGCGGCGUGCCUAACACAUGCAAGUCGAACGCGAAGGAAGUCUUCGGACUUCUGGAGAGUGGCGCACGGGUGAGUAACACGUGGGUAAUCUGCCUUUGGGUGGGGAAUAACGAUCCGAAAGGGUCGCUAAUACCGCAUAACGCAGCGGCACCGCAUGGUGACAGUUGUUAAAGGGGGGGAUCGAAAGACCUCUCGCCUGAAGAGGAGCCCGCGUCCGAUUAGCUAGUUGGUGAGGUAACGGCUCACCAAGGCAUCGAUCGGUAGCCGGCCUGAGAGGGCGGUCGGCCACACUGGCACUGAGACACGGGCCAGACUCCUACGGGAGGCAGCAGUGGGGAAUUUUGGGCAAUGGGCGAAAGCCUGACCCAGCAACGCCGCGUGAAGGAUGAAAUCCCUCUGGGAUGUAAACUUCGAAAGUCGGGAAAGAAAUCGCCAUGGAUAACACCCGUGGUGGAUGACGGUACCCGACGUAAGCCCCGGCUAACUACGUG